AGAGUUUGAUCCUGGCUCAGGAUGAACGCUAGCUACAGGCUUAACACAUGCAAGUCGAGGGGCAGCAUGUUGGUUGCUUGCAACCAACGAUGGCGACCGGCGCACGGGUGAGUAACGCGUAUCCAACCUACCCUUGUCCAUCGGAUAACCCGUCGAAAGGCGGCCUAACACGAUAUGCGGUUCACGGCAGGCAUCUAAGGUGAACGAAAUGUGAAGGAGAAGGAUGGGGAUGCGUCUGAUUAGCCUGUUGGCGGGGUAACGCCACCAAGGCUACGAUCAGUAGGGGUUCUGGGAGAAGGUCCCCACAUUGGAACUGAGACACGGUCCAAACUCCUACGGGAGGCA
rnacentral:rRNA from 1 species